rnacentral:rRNA from 1 species
CCCCUAGAUGUUCUGGGCCGCACGCGCGCUACACUGAACAGUUCAACAAGUCUUAACCUUGGCCGAUAGGUCUGGGUAAUCUUUGAACGCUGUUCGUGAUUGGGAUAGACCUUUGCAAUUAUGGGUCUUCAACGAGGAAUUCCUAGUAAACGCAAGUCAUCAGCUUGCAUUGAUUACGUCCCUGCCCUUUGUACACACCGCCCGUCGCUCCUACCGAUUUCGAGUGGUCCGGUGAAACUUUUGGACCGUGCGACUUUAUUGUUGUCACGGAAAGUCAGUUAAACCAUACUACUUAGAGGAAGGAGAAGUCGUAACA